GGAAGGAGCGCUGGAUCUUGGGCUGUGUCCCCUAGUGCCCUGGGCUCCGGGGCCUGCUCCACUGGAAUCAUGCUACGGGGGCGCGCAGCCCACU
rnacentral:pre_miRNA from 1 species